UACACACCGCCCGUCACACCAUGGGAAGUCAGUUCGCUCCAGAAACGGCCGCGACUAACCGCAAGGAGGCAGGUCUUUAAGGAGUGACUGGUAACGUGGGUG
rnacentral:rRNA from 1 species